GGGCCGGCUAUAGCCCAGCGGUUACUUCGGUUAUUUCACGUGUCUCGCCCCAUUCGGGGUUCGAUCCCGCGGGCACCCCUGGCUCACUU
rnacentral:vault_RNA from 1 species